rnacentral:piRNA from 1 species
UCCCAUUAAAGCUUGUUGAGC